ACCCGCUUGGGUCCCCUUCCACACUGUGGAAGCUUUGUUCUUUUGCUCUUUGCAAUAAAUCUUGCUACUGCUCACUCUUUGGGUCCAUGCUGCUUUUAUGAGCUGUAACACUCACCACGAAGGCCUGCAGCUUCACUCCUGAAGCCAGCGAGACCACGAGCCCGCCGGGAGGAACGAACAACUCCAGAUGUGCCGCCUUAAGAGCUGUAACACUCACCGCAAAGGUCUGCAGCUUCACUCCUGAGCCAGCGAGACCACGAACCCACCAGAAGGAAGAAACUCCGAACACAUCCGAACAUCAGAAGGAACAAACUCCAGACGCACCACCUUAAGAGCUGUAACACUCACCGCAAGGGUCCGCAGUUUCAUUCUUGAAGUCAGUGAGACCAAGAACCCACCAAUUCCGGACACAUUUUGGCGACCCAGAUGGGACUUUCGCCUAUCACCAAGCGGUGAGACCAUCACCUAUAGCUGAGCGGUGAGACCAUCACCUAUAGCUGAGCGGCGAGACCAUCACCUAUCACCAAGCAAUGGGAAACACUCAGGCAUCAACAGGCUCACCCUUGAAAUGCAUCCUAAGCCAUUGGGACCAAUUUGAUCCACAAACCUUGAAAAAGAGGCGGCUCAUUUUUUUCUGCACUAUGGCUUGGGCCCAAUAUUCUCUCUCUGAUGAGGAAAAAUGGCCACCUGAGGGAAGUACAAAUUACAAUACUAUCCUGCAGCUUGACCUUUUCUGUAAGAGGGAAGGCAAAUGGAGUGAAAUACCUUAUGUCCAAGCUUUCUUUUCAUUGAAGAAUCAAGGCCAUCAAGCUACAGAUGGGCUUACAAAUGGAACCCAAAAUGAGUUCAACUAACAACUUCUACCAAGGGCCCCUGGACCGACCCACUGGCACUUCCCCUGGCCUAGAGUUCCCCUCUGAAGGACACUACAACUGCAAGGCCCCUUCUUCACCCCAUCCAGCAGGAAGUAGCUAGAGCGGUCAUCGGCCAAAUUCCCAACAGCAGUUGGGGUGUCCUGUUUAGAGGGGGGAUUGAGAGGUGACAGCAUGCUGGCAGUCCUCAGCCCUCACUCACUCUUGGCACCUCCUCUGCCCGGGCUCCCACUUUGGUGGCACUUGAGGAGCGCUUCAGCCCACCGCUGCACUGUGGGAGCCCCUUUCUGGGCUGGCCAAGGCCAGAGCCGGCUCCCUCAGCUUCCAGGGAGGUGUGGAGGGAGAGGCUCAAGCGGGAACUGGGGCUGCGUGCGGCGCUUGCGGGCCAGCUGGAGUUCCGGGCGGGCGUGGGCUUGGCGGGCCCUGCACUCAGAGCAGCCAGCCGGCCCUGCCGGCCCCGGGCAGUGAGGGGCUUAGUACCUGGGCCAGCAGCUGUGAAGGGUGUACUGGGUCCCCCAGCAGUGCCAGCCCACCGGCGCUGCACUCGAUUUCUCACCGGGCCUUAGCCGCCUUCCCAUGGGGCAGGGCUUGGGACCUGCAGCCCGCCAUGCCUGAGCCUCCCACACCCCCUCCAUGGGCUCCUGUGCGGCCCGAGCCUCCUCGACGAGCGCCACCCCCUGCUCCACGGCACCCAGUCCCAUCGACCACCCAAGGGCUGAGGAGUGCGGGCGCACGCAGGGGACUGGCAGGCAGCUCCACCUGCAGCCCCGGUGCGGGAUUCACCGGGUGAAGCCAGCUGGGCUCCUGAAUCUGGUGGGGCUUUGGAGAACCUUUACAAUCCCUGAGCUAGACAUAAAUACACCAAUCGGCACUCUGUAUCUAGCUCAAGGUUUGUAAACACACCAGUCAGCACCCUGUGUCUAGCUCAGGGUUUGUGAGUGCACCAAUUGACACUCUGUAUCUAGCUGCUCUGGUGGGGCCGUGAAGAACCUUUAUGUCUAGCUCAGGGAUUGUAAAUACACCAAUCGGCACUCUGUAUCUAGCUCAAGGUUUGUAAACACACCAAUCAGCACCCUGUGUCUAGCUCAGGGUUUGUGAGUGCACCAAUGGACACUCUGUAUCUAUCUGCUCUGGUGGGGCCUUGGAGAACCUUUGUGUGGAUACUCUGUAUCUAAUCUGAUGGGGACGUGGAGAACCUUUGUAUCCAGCUCAGGGAUUGUAAACGCACCAAUCAGCGCCCUGUCAAAACAGACCACUGGGCUCUACCAAUCAGCAGGACGUGGGUGGGGCCAGAUAAGAGAAUGAAACCAGGCUGCCCCAGCCAGCAGUGGCAACCCGCUUGGGUCCCCUUCCACACUGUGGAAGCUUUGUUCUUUUGCUCUUUGCAAUAAAUCUUGCUACUGCUCA
rnacentral:lncRNA from 1 species